ACUUGCAUUGGUGGUUCAGUGGUAGAAUUC
rnacentral:piRNA from 1 species